GGUUAAGCGACUAAGCGUACACGGUGGAUGCCCUGGCAGUCAGAGGCGAUGAAGGGCGUGCUAAUCUGCGAUAAGCGCCGGUAAGGUGAUAUGAACCGUUAUAACCGGCGAUACCCGAAUGGGGAAACCCAGUGUGACUCGUCACACUAUCAUUAACUGAAUCCAUAGGUUAAUGAGGCGAACCGGGGGAACUGAAACAUCUAAGUACCCCGAGGAAAAGAAAUCAACCGAGAUUCCCCCAGUAGCGGCGAGCGAACGGGGAGGAGCCCAGAGCCUGAAUCAGCAUGUGUGUUAGUGGAAGCGUCUGGAAAGGCGCGCGAUACAGGGUGACAGCCCCGUACACAAAAGCGCAUGUGCUGUGAGCUCGAUGAGUAGGGCGGGACACGUGGUAUCCUGUCUGAAUAUGGGGGGACCAUCCUCCAAGGCUAAAUACUCCUGACUGACCGAUAGUGAACCAGUACCGUGAGGGAAAGGCGAAAAGAACCCCGGCGAGGGGAGUGAAAAAGAACCUGAAACCGUGUACGUACAAGCAGUGGGAGCACAGGUUUACCUGUGUGACUGCGUACCUUUUGUAUAAUGGGUCAGCGACUUAUAUUCUGUAGCAAGGUUAACCGAAUAGGGGAGCCGGAGGGAAACCGAGUCUUAAUUGGGCGUUAAGUUGCAGGGUAUAGACCCGAAACCCGGUGAUCUAGCCAUGGGCAGGUUGAAGGUUGGGUAACACUAACUGGAGGACCGAACCGACUAAUGUUGAAAAAUUAGCGGAUGACCUGUGGCUGGGGGUGAAAGGCCAAUCAAACCGGGAGAUAGCUGGUUCUCCCCGAAAGCUAUUUAGGUAGCGCCUCGUGAAUUCAUCUCCGGGGGUAGAGCACUGUUUCGGCUAGGGGGCCAUCCCGGCUUACCAACCCGAUGCAAACUGCGAAUACCGGAGAAUGUUAUCACGGGAGACACACGGCGGGUGCUAACGUCCGUCGUGAAGAGGGAAACAACCCAGACCGCCAGCUAAGGUCCCAAAGUCAUGGUUAAGUGGGAAACGAUGUGGGAAGGCCCAGACAGCCAGGAUGUUGGCUUAGAAGCAGCCAUCAUUUAAAGAAAGCGUAAUAGCUCACUGGUCGAGUCGGCCUGCGCGGAAGAUGUAACGGGGCUAAACCAUGCACCGAAGCUGCGGCAGCGAACGUAUCACCCAAGACAACUUUGCGGAGUUGACGAUUGACGGAGCGAAGCGACGUCAAAGCGUUCAUUAAAGUCGAGUUGGCUUAGGGAUACGUUCGUUGGGUAGGGGAGCGUUCUGUAAGCCUGUGAAGGUGGCCUGUGAGGGUUGCUGGAGGUAUCAGAAGUGCGAAUGCUGACAUAAGUAACGAUAAAGCGGGUGAAAAGCCCGCUCGCCGGAAGACCAAGGGUUCCUGUCCAACGUUAAUCGGGGCAGGGUGAGUCGACCCCUAAGGCGAGGCCGAAAGGCGUAGUCGAUGGGAAACGGGUUAAUAUUCCCGUACUUGGUGUUACUGCGAAGGGGGGACGGAGAAGGCUAUGUUGGCCGGGCGACGGUUGUCCCGGUUUAAGCGUGUAGGUGUGUGUUCCAGGUAAAUCCGGUUCACUUUAACACUGAGGCGUGACGACGAGGCACUACGGUGCUGAAGCAACAAAUGCCCUGCUUCCAGGAAAAGCCUCUAAGCAUCAGGUAACAUCAAAUCGUACCCCAAACCGACACAGGUGGUCAGGUAGAGAAUACCAAGGCGCUUGAGAGAACUCGGGUGAAGGAACUAGGCAAAAUGGUGCCGUAACUUCGGGAGAAGGCACGCUGAUAUGUAGGUGAAGCGGUUUACCCGUGGAGCUGAAAUCAGUCGAAGAUACCAGCUGGCUGCAACUGUUUAUUAAAAACACAGCACUGUGCAAACACGAAAGUGGACGUAUACGGUGUGACGCCUGCCCGGUGCCGGAAGGUUAAUUGAUGGGGUCAGCGCAAGCGAAGCUCCUGAUCGAAGCCCCGGUAAACGGCGGCCGUAACUAUAACGGUCCUAAGGUAGCGAAAUUCCUUGUCGGGUAAGUUCCGACCUGCACGAAUGGCGUAAUGAUGGCCAGGCUGUCUCCACCCGAGACUCAGUGAAAUUGAACUCGCUGUGAAGAUGCAGUGUACCCGCGGCAAGACGGAAAGACCCCGUGAACCUUUACUAUAGCUUGACACUGAACAUUGAGCCUUGAUGUGUAGGAUAGGUGGGAGGCUUUGAAGCGUGGACGCCAGUCUGCGUGGAGCCGACCUUGAAAUACCACCCUUUAAUGUUUGAUGUUCUAACGUGGACCCGUAAUCCGGGUUGCGGACAGUGUCUGGUGGGUAGUUUGACUGGGGCGGUCUCCUCCUAAAGAGUAACGGAGGAGCACGAAGGUUGGCUAAUCCUGGUCGGACAUCAGGAGGUUAGUGCAAUGGCAUAAGCCAGCUUGACUGCGAGCGUGACGGCGCGAGCAGGUGCGAAAGCAGGUCAUAGUGAUCCGGUGGUUCUGAAUGGAAGGGCCAUCGCUCAACGGAUAAAAGGUACUCCGGGGAUAACAGGCUGAUACCGCCCAAGAGUUCAUAUCGACGGCGGUGUUUGGCACCUCGAUGUCGGCUCAUCACAUCCUGGGGCUGAAGUAGGUCCCAAGGGUAUGGCUGUUCGCCAUUUAAAGUGGUACGCGAGCUGGGUUUAGAACGUCGUGAGACAGUUCGGUCCCUAUCUGCCGUGGGCGCUGGAGAACUGAGGGGGGCUGCUCCUAGUACGAGAGGACCGGAGUGGACGCAUCACUGGUGUUCGGGUUGUCAUGCCAAUGGCACUGCCCGGUAGCUAAAUGCGGAAGAGAUAAGUGCUGAAAGCAUCUAAGCACGAAACUUGCCCCGAGAUGAGUUCUCCCUGAGACUUUAGGUCUCCUGAAGGAACGUUGAAGACGACGACGUUGAUAGGCCGGGUGUGUAAGCGCAGCGAUGCGUUGAGCUAACCGGUACUAAUGAACCGUGAGGCUUAACCUU
rnacentral:rRNA from 1 species